rnacentral:rRNA from 1 species
GAUGAACGCUGGCGGCGUGCCUAAUACAUGCAAGUCGAGCGAACAGAUAAGGAGCUUGCUCCUUUGACGUUAGCGGCGGACGGGUGAGUAACACGUGGGUAACCUACCUAUAAGACUGGAAUAACUCCGGGAAACCGGGGCUAAUGCCGGAUAACAUUUAGAACCGCAUGGUUCUAAAGUGAAAGAUGGUUUUGCUAUCACUUAUAGAUGGACCCGGGCCGUAUUAGCUAGUUGGUAAGGUAACGGCUUACCAAGGCAACGAUACGUAGCCGACCUGAGAGGGUGAUCGGCCACACUGGAACUGAGACACGGUCCAGACUCCUGCGGGAGGCAGCAGUAGGGAAUCUUACGCAAUGGGCGGAAGCCUGACGGAGCAACGCCGCGUGAGUGAUGAAGGUCUUCGGAUCGUAAAACUCUGUUAUGAGGGAAGAACAAAUGUGUAAGUAACUGUGCACGUCUUGACGGUACCUAAUCAGAAAGCCACGGCUAACUACGUG